AGCCUACCCGACACAACCCCAUUAUUCUCUCUCAGAGCCUCUCUCCGUCGAAUCCUCACAGUCUCCUGCAAUUUCCUCUUCCCCAAACCUAAAUAGAAGCCAUAAACCCCGUCCCACCAUUCAAGCAAAAAAAAUACGUACCCGAGGCCAAAGAAGAAGAAAAACAUCUAAUAGCAGAGAUUCGAAGUCUGAUUAUUGCUAAAACAUACAAAUAAAGAAUAUCGGCUGAAAAGAUAAGUGAAUUCCAAUGAUUUAAACUAUAUUUUUGUUGGUCUGUUUUCUAGAUGAUGAUUACGCUUAAUUUACAUCUUUGAUUAACAGUUGAUUGUUUUUUAUUUAUUAAUAAUUAAUGAUAUGAAACCCUAAAUCAUUUAUAUUACACAUACGCACCUAAGUCUAAAUAGAACAACUCAUCGUGAAUGAACAAUUUGAAAUUCAAAUUACUCCUGAAAAUAGAAAAAAAAAACUACACCUACUGAACACAUAAGUAAAAUCUUCAAUUUUUUUUUAAAUUUUUACUAACUGUGUUUCUCUUUUAUCAAUAUACUCCGUAUAUAUACAUCUUAAUUCAUUUGUUGUCUUAUAUAUUAAUUCCUGUCAGUAGUGUUAUUUACUUGAAAAUUUUAUUUAUACUAUAUACAGUAAUAUAAAAUUCUUUUCAUACCUUUAUUUGAAUGACCAUACUUUCUUUUGCAACAAAUGGUGGUAGAUUUUUCUAACUUUCUCAUCUUUCUUUGAGUUGCUGCCUUGCGUGAAUAGUCACAGAGAACCUGAAGUUUGAAAGUAGCCUUUAAGUUUUGGAUGUUUAUUUAUAUAGAAGCAAUAGCACUUGAUUACCUUACUAAAGCACUAUUCUAUUCAUGUAAAGGAUUACUAUUUUCUGGACUUGUGUUAAAGGAGUGAAUUACUUUUUUAUUGGGAAUGUAACAGCUAUCUGAUAUUUGAUUUCAGUUUUCCAUAUCUUAACUACUACUUAGUUUGUAAGAUCAAAUUUUUAGUUCAAAUUCAUACAUGAAAUUCUGAUUUUGUUAUUUGCAAGUGAGUGUACACAUGUUUUUUGAUAGAUAGGGGGAAAGUAUAUCUCUUCAAACAGUAAUGAAUUCAAGUAAAUGACAUGUAUUUUAUAGUUUGCUUGAAAUUGAAUUUCCUCUCUAUUAGGAAUGCAAAAGUUUACUGAUAUUCAAUCUCAGAUUCUUCAUAUUGGUUAAUUAGUUAAUAUUUUGUAUGAUCAACCUCUUCUCUGAACUAAAUUCAUGAAUUAACAAAAUCUAACAUAGUCCUAUUUUUUCCAUCUAAAUUCUAUAUAUAUUUUUUAAAAGUUUAUAAAUUUUUUUCCACAUAUGCCUCACUUUGAAAGUAAAGUAUAUGUCUUAGUUUUUGUUAAAUACACACUAUUAAAGAUUCACAAAAAUUUGUAAUACUGAAAUACUACAUUAGAACGAAUUCAUAUCUGCCUUGUAUUCUAAUAUAUUCUUAACUGAUAAUUUCAUCCCCAAUCAAAUUACUUAUUAAUAACUUCAUAAGUUGUAAUUACACAAUUACAUUUUCAUAGAUGAUUAAGUUUGAAAUCACAACAUAUACUAACAUUGUGAGUAGAGAUCAUUAUUUACAAAUUGUUCUUUGACUUGUAUUCUUUUUUUCCCAGUUUAUAAGUUCAUGCCAGGUUAAUUUAGUUAUUAAUUAGAACUACAUUUAUUUAUUGAUUACUCUUUUUAUUUAAUGAUUUACUAAUAUACAUUAGUAAUUUAAUAAGUUCUCCGUUUGAAUACAUAGCAUUUAUUAAACUAUAUUAUAAUUAGCCACAUAUUGAUAGUUUCACUCUACAAUUAGCCACAUAGUGAUAGUUUCACUCUUUUUUUAGGAAGAAAUAAAACUGGUGCUAGAACUGAUUCUAAUCCAACAAUUGAUACCAGAGGCAAAGCAAGAUUAAAUAGAUAAGGUUCUGAAUUGAAGAUGUGCAUUCUCAAGUAUAAUCACAGGAAAAGGGCACGGCAGGGGUGAACUCGAAUUGCAUUGGGCUCAACCUGAGUUAUGAAGCAGAGCUGUGUGUAUCAGUGAUUUAUGUGAAUGGUGCAAUGUAAUUGUAUGUAUAUAUAUACCCAAAAAAGUAGCAUAGAUACAACGAAAGUAAUCAUUAGGUUGUGGCUACUGCCGUGAACCUAAAUAGGCCUAAAGAGCAGUAAUCGUUUCCUAAGAACGCCAUUAAAUGUAGAUAAGAACUAAUACACCGAUUAGAUUAAAUAUAACCAUAAAAAGAUAAGAAAUAGAAA